GACAGAGGGUGCAAACGUUGUUCGGAAUUACUGGGCGUAAAGCGCGUGUAGGCGGCUAAGUAAGUCGGGCGUGAAAUCCCACGGCUCAACCGUGGAAGUGCACUCGAAACUGCAUAGCUAGAGUCCUGGAGAGGAAGGUGGAAUGCUUGGUGUAGAGGUGAAAUUCGUAGAUAUCAAGCGGAACACCGGUGGCGAAGGCGGCCUUCUGGACAGUGACUGACGCUGAGACGCGAAAGCGUGGGGAGCAAACA
rnacentral:rRNA from 1 species